rnacentral:rRNA from 1 species
GGGGGAUACCAAAGGAGAGAGAGCAACAACAGCGACGUUUUCCUAAGAGCCAGCGCUCCCCUUAACUUCGGGCUCUGUCCAAUUCCGAUACAUAUCAUCCGCAGCAGCAGCGGAGCAGCGGCGGCGGCAGGAGGGAUCAGCAGCAGAGCAGCAGCAGCUCUUUUUUUUUAUAUAUGCGAGGUGCACCGGCCGGGCUGUAUAUUAGCCUCCCCGCCCUCCCCCUUUGCGUCGCUCUUCCCUUUCAGAAGGCGAUUGCACAGGGCGACCAAGAACUGCUGCUGCGCCCGACCGGACAAGGGAAAAAAAUAUAGAGAUAGUCACUCACACCAGAGAGAGAGAGAGAGAGAGAGAGAGAGAGAGAGGGAGAUAAAGAGAUUUCGAGAGGGAGGGAGACAAGCGGAGACAGAGAUGGAGAGGAGGUCUCUCGGAGGCAAGCCUUUCACUCCCUCGACAAGAUAACGAUGUGCUCCUCCUCAUCUUAGGUCGCUGCGGGAGAAGGGGAUUUUUCUUGGCGCCGGCGACGACGAUGAUGACAGUGGCGCCGCCGGUAUGGGAAUAGCGGCGCCACCGUGUCAGGCGACCACGCAGCACGUGAGCAGCACACCCAAGAGCAGUGCGGCGAUCUACGGCGGCCGGCCGGCCACGGCGAGUUCUAUGUCCCACUCCCAGGGAUUCCACCAGGGCAGCAGCGGCGUCUACGGCUUCUCCUCGGAUGGCUUCGACCGCCCGGGAUCCAGCCAGGACCACGACCAGCAGCAAGAGCAGCAGCACCACGUGGCGCAGCAGAGCCGACGCGACAAGAUGAGGGUCCAGGGCUUCGACCCGGCCGCCGCCGCUGCCCACGGGCUGCUCCCCAUCGAUGGCGACGAGCACGUCGAGCCCGGCGCCAUGUACGACCACGCCGCGGCCGCCGGCGCCUCCAACAUGCUCGCCGAGAUGUUCAACUUCUCCGCCCAGACGCCGUCGGGGCCAUCCGCCACCGAGCUGCUGGCCAGCCAGAUGAACGCCAACUACCGCUUCGGGUUCCGGCAGCAGGCGCCGGGAGCGGUAGUAGCCGGCUUGCCUGGCGACGGCGGUUGGUUCGGCAGCGGCGGGCCUGGCCGCGCUGGCGUGGUCCUCGGCGGGGCAAACUUAUUAGGUGAGACGUCCUCGCCGAAGCAACAAGGCGGCAUGGCGGGCCUCGCCACCGACCCGGCCGCCGCGAUGCAGCUCUUCUUGAUGAACCCUCAGCAGCAGCAACAGUCAAGGUCGUCGCCGACGUCGCCUCCGCCUUCGGACGCGCAGUCGGCUAUUCAGCACCACGAGGCGUUCCAGGCGUACGGCAACGCCGCGAGUUCGUUCGGCGGCGGCGGGGCCGGCGUGGUGGAAGGCCAGGGCCUCUCACUCUCUCUAUCGCCGUCGUUACAGCAGCUGGAGAUGGCGAAGCAGGCCGAGGAGCUAAGGGUGAGAGACGGCGUGCUCUACUUCAACCGACAGCAGCAGCAGCAGCAGCAGGCCCCGUCGGUGCAACAGCUCCCGAUGGCAUUGCACGGCCAGGUCGGCGCGAUGGGGCAGCAGCUCCACGUCGGAUACGGCCCCGCCGGGGUCGCCGGCGUGCUGCGCAACUCCAAGUACACGCGCGCGGCCCAGGAGCUCCUCGACGAGUUCUGCAGCGUGGGCCGCGGGCAGACGAUCAAGGGAGGCGGGCGCGGCGCCGGCGGCUCCUCAUCGAACCCUAACGCGAGCAAGGGCGGACCCUCCAGCUCCGGCGCCGGCCAGUCGCCAUCGUCGGCGUCCAGGGAGCCCCCGCAGCUGUCCCCCGCCGACCGGUUCGAGCAGCAGCGCAAGAAGGCCAAGCUCAUCUCCAUGCUCGACGAGGUGGAUCGGAGGUACAACCACUACUGCGACCAGAUGCAGAUGGUGGUGAACUUCUUCGACUCGGUGAUGGGGUUCGGGGCGGCGACGCCCUACACGGCGCUGGCGCAGAAGGCCAUGUCGCGGCACUUCCGGUGCCUCAAGGACGCCAUCGCCGCGCAGCUGCGGCACACCUGCGAGCUGCUGGGCGAGAAGGACGCCGGCACGAGCUCCGGGCUGACCAAGGGGGAGACACCGCGGCUCCGCGCCAUCGACCAGAGCCUCCGGCAGCAGCGCGCCUUCCACCACAUGGGCAUGAUGGAGCAGGAGGCGUGGCGGCCCCAGCGCGGCCUCCCCGAGCGCUCCGUCAGCAUCCUCCGCUCCUGGCUCUUCGAGCACUUCCUACACCCGUACCCAAGCGACGCCGAUAAGCACCUGUUGGCCAGGCAGACGGGGCUGUCCAGGAACCAGGUCUCGAAUUGGUUCAUCAACGCCCGCGUCCGGCUGUGGAAGCCCAUGAUCGAGGAGAUGUACCAGCAGGAGACGAAGGAGCUCGAGGGCUCCUCCGCCGGCGGCGGCGGAGGCGGGCCCGAGUCCGGCAACGACCCCUCUGGCGCCGACGACUUGCACUCCCCGACGACCACCGGAGCGCAUCAGCACCCGCAGCAGCAAGUAGUAAUGCAGCACGGCGACGGCAGGUACGGCCAACAAGAACACGGGAUGUCCGGCGUCCACCCCCAUAAGCUCGACCCCGGCGCGGGGCCCUCGGUGGCGGACGCCGCCUUCGUCGGCCUUGAUCCGGCGGAGCUCCUUGGCGGCGACGCGCACGUGGGUGCCGCGGACGACCUGUACGGGAGGUUCGAGCCCGGGGUGAGGAUGAGGUACGGGCCCGCCACGACCGGCUCGGUCUCCGGCAACGUGUCGCUUACGCUGGGCCUGCAGCACGCCGGCGCCGGCAACCAGGGGCCGGACGGCAGCGGCCGGUUCUCCUUGAGAGACUACAAUGGUUGUUGAUGCCUACCCACACAUAUAUCUUGAUUAUUCAUUCAUGGCUCAUGCAUGCAUUGCAUUAUUUGGAGCACUGAGGAGAUUCAAAGAGAGAAGAAAGAAAGAAAGCACCGGAGAAGAGAGAGAUCUAGAGAGAUAAACUUGCAUGGUGUCUCUGGAGGUGGUGGAAUGCAUGGGAUGGGAAUAUAUUAAUACGAGACAAAUCAUCAUCUUCAUUUUCUUCUUCCUCUUCCUCAGAUGAUUCUUAAUUUAGCUAGAUUAAUUCCUUUCGGUAGGCAUUAUUGUUGGGGGGGCUAAGGAAAAUCUGUAUACAGGAAAAGAAAGAUAGGAAGUGUAUGUUAUAGAUUUGUUUUAGUCACCUCUUUUUUUGGUUCUCCGGUUCUGUUCCAUGUUCUGUUUCUUGUCCGUUUUAGUCCUGGUGUACCAAUUUUUUCUCCUUUCCAUCUGUAACUAAACAUAAGAGAAACAUACAUACAUACAUACAUGGAUGAAUGCAUAUAUUGGUAAAUAUCUGGACAUACACACAUGGCUAUAUGCAUGUGGGCUAGAAGAAGAAGAGAUGCAUAGUACGUACAUGCAUACACUUGGCCCGGUACAAGAGUGUGGUCACUCACUCACGGCUGGCUGGCAUAUGUACCUGCAACUUGUGCGUGGCUCUUUUGAUUUUGCCCCACCUUUUGGGGAAUCCAAUUGAUGCCAU